rnacentral:rRNA from 1 species
GAUGAACGCUGGCGGCGUGCCUAAUACAUGCAAGUCGAGCGAACAGACGAUGAGCUUGCGCCUCUGUCGUUAGCGGCGGACGUGUGAGUAACACGUGGAUCACCUACCUAUAAGACUGGUAUCUCUUCGGGAAACCGGAGCUUAUACCGUAGAAUAUCUUGAACCGCAUGGUUCAAUAGUGAGAUACGGUUUUGCUGGCACUUAUAGCUGGAUCCGCGCCGCUUUGGCUAGUUGGUAAGGUAACGGCUUACCAAGGCUACGAUGCGUAGCCGAAGUGAGAGGGUGAUCGGCCGCACUGGAGGGGGGCCAGCGUCAAGACUCCUACGGGACGCCGCAGUAGGGAAUCUGAGGCAGAGGGCGAAAGCAUGACGGAGCGACGCGGAGUGAGAGAUGGAGGUCUUGGGAUCGGAAAAAUCUGCUAUGAGGGAAGAACAACUGUGUAAGUAAACAUGCACGUCUUGACGGUAACUAAUAAGAAAGCAACGGCUAACUACGUG